GCCUCCUUAGCUCAGCUGGCCAGAGCAUCGGUCUUGUAAACCGAGGGUCACCGGUUCGAAUCCGGUAGGGGGCUCCA
rnacentral:tRNA from 13 species